CGGAAGGAUCAUUAAAGCUCUAGUUCAUAGAUAGGCUAGCAGCAAUGUUUGGACGAAGGUCAGGAACUGCGAAGAGGGUUGGGCGGCUCGGUAAGCUCCCAUCAAUCGUUUGACGCAGGACCUGCAUUAUUGAUUUGUGAGCGUAAUCGGCAAAUGCUGUAUUGAAAGGUUGAUAAACACAACCGAUGACGAUGGAUGACUCGGCUAUCACGUCGAUGAAGAGCGUAGCGAAGGGCGAUACCUAGUGCGAUCUGUAGCUGCGUGACGCAUCGAGUUCUUGAACGCAUUGUGCCUUGGGGCGCGAGCCUCAAGGUGCAUCUGGUUGGGUGUCCGUAAAUACUCAAAUGCCAAAGCUUAACUGCCUUGGCAACGUGGGGGCGCAUCAGCAAUGAAGCAUCCCUCAAGUCCUUUGUUAGCUGCGAGCAUGGCAGUAGUCACAUGCGAAAGUAUUGUUGGCGAACCUUGUUUUGUUGGCGAAGGCUUGCCUUCCCUUACAUAAGGGAGGCGCGGUUCUUUGUGACCGCAAGUAUUACUUUUCGGACCUCAACUCAGGUGUGAUUACCCGCUAAACUUAAGCAUAUCAAUAAGCGGAGGAA
rnacentral:rRNA from 1 species